rnacentral:rRNA from 1 species
GAUGAACGCUAGCUACAGGCUUAACACAUGCAAGUCGAGGGGCAGCAUGGUCUUAGCUUGCUAAGGCCGAUGGCGACCGGCGCACGGGUGAGUAACACGUAUCCAACCUGCCGUCUACUCUUGGACAGCCUUCUGAAAGGAAGAUUAAUACAAGAUGGCAUCAUGAGUCCGCAUGUUCACAUGAUUAAAGGUAUUCCGGUAGACGAUGGGGAUGCGUUCCAUUAGAUAGUAGGCGGGGUAACGGCCCACCUAGUCUUCGAUGGAUAGGGGUUCUGAGAGGAAGGUCCCCCACAUUGGAACUGAGACACGGUCCAAACUCCUACGGGAGGCAGCAGUGAGGAAUAUUGGUCAAUGGGCGAGAGCCUGAACCAGCCAAGUAGCGUGAAGGAUGACUGCCCUAUGGGUUGUAAACUUCUUUUAUAAAGGAAUAAAGUCGGGUAUGGAUACCCGUUUGCAUGUACUUUAUGAAUAAGGAUCGGCUAACUCCGUGCCAGCAGCCGCGGUAAUACGGAGGAUCCGAGCGUUAUCCGGAUUUAUUGGGUUUAAAGGGAGCGUAGAUGGAUGUUUAAGUCAGUUGUGAAAGUUUGCGGCUCAACCGUAAAAUUGCAGUUGAUACUGGAUAUCUUGAGUGCAGUUGAGGCAGGCGGAAUUCGUGGUGUAGCGGUGAAAUGCUUAGAUAUCACGAAGAACUCCGAUUGCGAAGGCAGCCUGCUAAGCUGCAACUGACAUUGAGGCUCGAAAGUGUGGGUAUCAAACAGGAUUAGAUACCCUGGUAGUCCACACGGUAAACGAUGAAUACUCGCUGUUUGCGAUAUACUGCAAGCGGCCAAGCGAAAGCGUUAAGUAUUCCACCUGGGGAGUACGCCGGCAACGGUGAAACUCAAAGGAAUUGACGGGGGCCCGCACAAGCGGAGGAACAUGUGGUUUAAUUCGAUGAUACGCGAGGAACCUUACCCGGGCUUAAAUUGCAGAUGAAUUACGGUGAAAGCCGUAAGCCGCAAGGCAUCUGUGAAGGUGCUGCAUGGUUGUCGUCAGCUCGUGCCGUGAGGUGUCGGCUUAAGUGCCAUAACGAGCGCAACCCUUGUUGUCAGUUACUAACAGGUUCCGCUGAGGACUCUGACAAGACUGCCAUCGUAAGAUGUGAGGAAGGUGGGGAUGACGUCAAAUCAGCACGGCCCUUACGUCCGGGGCUACACACGUGUUACAAUGGGGGGUACAGAGGGCCGCUACCACGCGAGUGGAUGCCAAUCCCCAAAACCUCUCUCAGUUCGGACUGGAGUCUGCAACCCGACUCCACGAAGCUGGAUUCGCUAGUAAUCGCGCAUCAGCCACGGCGCGGUGAAUACGUUCCCAGGCCCU